rnacentral:tRNA from 1 species
GCCCCUCUGGCCCAACAAAAGGUAGAGGCUCUGCUUUCAAACGGCAGGAGUUCCCGGUUCGACCCCGGGGAGGGGCACCA